rnacentral:rRNA from 1 species
CCUACGGGUGGCUGCAGUGGGGAAUAUUGGACAAUGGGCGAAAGCCUGAUCCAGCCAUGCCGCGUGUGUGAAGAAGGCCUUCGGGUUGUAAAGCACUUUCAGUGGGGAAGAAAGCCUUGGGGCUAAUACCCUCGAGGAAGGACAUCACCCACAGAAGAAGCACCGGCUAACUCCGUGCCAGCAGCCGCGGUAAUACGGAGGGUGCGAGCGUUAAUCGGAAUUACUGGGCGUAAAGCGCGCGUAGGCGGUCUGAUAAGCCGGUUGUGAAAGCCCCGGGCUCAACCUGGGAACGGCAUCCGGAACUGUCAGGCUAGAGUGCAGGAGAGGAAGGUAGAAUUCCCGGUGUAGCGGUGAAAUGCGUAGAGAUCGGGAGGAAUACCAGUGGCGAAGGCGGCCUUCUGGACUGACACUGACGCUGAGGUGCGAAAGCGUGGGUAGCAAACAGGAUUUAGAUACCCUUGUAGUC